CAACCAUGACCAGGAUGACGGAGAAUCACCGUAGACAUGUUGAAACUUUGGAAAAAGUUCCGAGAAGAGCAACAAAGAUGAUUAAAGGCCUGGAGACUAAAACACAUGAAGAACGGUUGCAGGAUUUGGGUUUGGCUAGAAAAGAAAAAUUAGGGGGCACAGGAUAGCAGUAUUCGAGUACAGGUAGUCCUCGACUUACAACAGUUCACUUGGUGACCAUUCAAAGUUAUAACGGCACUGAAAAAAGUAACCUAUGACCAUUUUUCACAUUUAUGACCAUUGUAGAAUCCCCAUGGCCACAUGAUUUACAUUUGGAUAGCUGAGAGUUGACUCACAUUUGUGAUUUUUGUUUGGGGUCACAUGACCCCCUUUAGCGACCUCCUGACAAGCAAAAUCAAGGGGGAAGCCAGAUUCACUUAGCAAAUGUUACUGAUUUAACAACGGCGGUGAUUCACUUAACAAAUGUGGCAAGAAAAGUCGUAAAAUGGGGCCAAACUCACUUAACAAAUUUCUCACUUCGCAACAUAAAUGUUGGGCUCAAUUGUGGUCGUAUGUUGAGGACCACCUGUAUUUGAGAGGUUACCACAAAGAAGAGGGGGUCAAGCCAUUCUCCAAAGCACCUGAGGGCAGGACAAGAAGCAACAGAUGGAAACUAAUCAAGGAGAGAAGCAACCUAGAACUAAGGAGGAAUCUCCUGACAGUGAGGACAAUUAAUCAGUGGGACAAUUUCCCUCCAGAAGUUGUGGGUGCUCCAUUGCUGGAGGUUUUCAACAAGAGACUGGACAGCCAUUUGUGUGGGAUAAUAUAGUGUUCCCUGCUACCAUUAUACUUCCUUCCUUCCUUCCUUCCUUCCUUCCUUCCUUCCUUCCUUCCUUCCUUCCUUCCUUCCUGUUUCUCCUUCCUUCCUUCCAUCUAUUCUCCUUAUUUCCUCCUGUUUCUUCCUCCCUCAAUCCCAUCUUCCUUCUCCUCCUUUCUAUCUCCUUCCUUCUUUCCAGACAAGAAGUGAUAGAUGGAAACUCAUCAAGGAGAGAAGCAACUUAGAAGUAAGGAGAAAUUUCCUGACAGUGAGAACAAUUAACCAGUGGAACAACUUGCCUCCAGAAGUUGUGAAUGCUCCAAAACUGGAAGUUUUUAAGAAGAUGUUGGAUAACCAUUUGUCUGAAGUGGUGUAGGGUGUCCUGCCUGGGCAGGGGGUUGGACUAGAAGACCUCCAAGGUCUCUUCCAACUCUGUUAUUCUGUUACUUGAGAGGCUGUCAUAGAGAAGAGGGGGUCAACCUAUCCUCACUUUACAACAUUUCUUGCCCCCGUUGAUAGGUGAAUCCCUGCAGUAGCACAAUUGUUAAGCAAAUGUGUCUUUCCUAUUGACUUUGCUGGUCACGAAAGUGGAUCACGUGACCCCGGGACACUCUAACCGUCAUAAAUACAAGCCCGUUGCCAAGCCUCUGAAUUCUGGUCAUGUGACCAAAGGGCUGCUGCAACGGUCAUUAACUGUGCAAAAUGGUUACCGGUCACUUUUUCAGCGCAGUAACUUCAAAUGGUCCCUAAACAAAUCAUUGUGAGUGUAAAUUGUAAGUAACCUGCAAAGGUUUCAGUCACUUUUUUCAGUGCUGAUCGAAUCGUCACUGAAUGAACUCUGUUGUAAGUUGAGACCUACCUGUAGAAGCAGGUAUGAAUUUGCAACCCAAAGGGGAAAGUUAGCCUUCGCCAAGAGAAGUGGCUGAGAUGCCUCCUAAACCCUCCUAACCCCAAGUCUGGUCCUUCUGAAUAGCUAAGUGCUUCAGUCCCAUGCUUCCCAGCCAACAUGGGAAAAAGAUGUGGAUGGGGGAAUGAGGUUGAAGUCCAACACACCUGGAAGGCUCAAGUUUAAAGAAGAUUCAUCAUUGUUAGGAAAUGAGUAUUACCUACUUUGUUGGGUUGGCAAUAUAUAAACCCUCAAUAUAGCUUUAAGACUGUUGUAUCGCAUCAUACUGUGUUCUGAUUGGUUAGCUCUGUAGCCAAUCUCCUUAAGAGGGAGCUAGAAACAUGGUUUGUUUCUCUUUGUUGUUCUUGCUCUCUGAUAUCUCUGUAUGCUACUGUUUGCAAAUCCAGAAGAACUGUUUAUUGUGAAUGACUAUGACGACUGGUAAGAAGACUUUGUUAUAGGAUUAUCCCUGGACUGUCAUUUUGCUAUCUCCUGCUUUAUAUGUGUAUGACCUGGACUGUUUAUUGGACUGUGCCUUACUAUUUCCUGAAAGUAAACACAACUCAGUGUA